rnacentral:misc_RNA from 1 species
AACUUUCAGCAACGGAUCACUUGGCUCUCGCAUCGAUGAAGAACGCAGCGAAAUGCGAUAAGUAAUAUGAAUUGCAGAAUUCAGUGAAUCAUCGAAUCUUUGAACGCACCUUGCGCCCUUUGGCUAUUCUGAAGGGCAUGCCUGUUUGAGUAUCAUGAACACCUCAACUCUCAUGGUCCGCCAUGAUGAGCUUGGACUUUGGGGGUCUUGCCGGCCCAGUGUCGGCUCCUCUCAAAUGGAUCAGCUUGCCAGUGUUUGGUGGCGUCACAGGUGUGAUAACUAUCUACGCUUGUGGUUUUCUGCCAUAUAACCUUCAGUGAUGGAGGUUCUCUGGAGCUCACAGAUGUCUCUCCUUGGGGAGGACAGCUUUUGAACGUUUGAUCUCAAAUCAGGUAGGACUACCCGCUGAACUUAAGCAUAUCAAUAAGCGGAGGCU